rnacentral:lncRNA from 1 species
UUAAUUUUAUUCUCCUAUUUAAUUUGUAAUGCUCACAUUUAGAUAUAAUUAUUUGUUAGGGUGUAUUAACUCUCAAGUAAAAACAUACAGAACUUAUUUGAACUAUAAACUAUUUUGAAAUGAUUAUUCCACCUCUCAAAAUUUUUAUUUUAUUAUUCUUUUUUAAUUUGUUUGAUUUGAGUCAGUCAACGGCGCUCUGCCUUCAAAAUUUAAAUCCGUAGUUAAUAUAUUUCAUAUAAUUUUCGCAACUAUGAAUUUAUUAAAAUAAAUAUUUAAUUUAAAUUUUAAAAUUAGACUACUAUUAGUUGAUUCAAAUCAAAUAAAUUAAGAAAUUACACAAUAAAACUUAAAUUUUGAAAGAUCGAACAACCAUUUGAGACUGAUCUGCAGUUCAGAUAUGUUUUGCAGGUUUUUUAUCUAAUCCUAAUCCUGAACUCUUUAAAGCCCCAACUGUCUUAUAAAAAUAAUAUAUCCAUACAACAACUGACAGGUGAUUCUGAAACCUCCC